GCCUCUAGCCUAGCAUCUUCCCUGAAAAUUAGUUGGCAACACUGUUUCCUGAUAUGAAAUUGAAAGUCAAUUUGGAGCCUAACGCAUCUACAAAAUGGCUGUUGAAACUGUGGCGCACAUGUCUCGGCAACAUUAGAUGUCUGAUAAACGUAUUGAAAGAAGCAGACUCUGGGCUCAGUGCUCUAAAAAGAGUCUCUCUGUGGAGAAAGAGGGGGCCCUGCGUCUAAAAUGAGUCUCUGUGGAGAAAGAGGAGGUCCCUGCCUCUAAAAUGAGCCUCCCUGGGGAACAUGACACCAAAGCUAAGAGCCCAAUCAAGCAGGAGAGAACAGACAGCUGUGUGUCCAUGAACAGUGACAGGUCUAUGGGACUACCUAUAGACUUCAGAAAGGGAUGUUUAUCUACUGAAAAAAGAAACCAACGGAAGAACGAGAUGAUGUUCAAGAGGAUUCUUAGUCCAGAACUCCCACAAGGCUUUGAGAGUCAUAAACAGAAUAAGGACGUGGUGGACGCUGAAGAUAAGAAGCAGGAGAGCAGUGCCAGAGACGCACUGUAUAAAGAUGAGAUUGCUGUGAUUUCCCAACAUUUCAAGUCUAAUCUAAAGAAGAAGUUUCAAUGUGUAUUUGAGGGAAUCGCUAAACAAGGAAACCCAACACUUCUCAAUAAGAUCUACACAGAGCCCUACAUGACAGAGGGUGGAAAAGGAGAGGUCAAUAAUGAACAUGAGCUGAGACAGAUUGAGACAACAACCAGGAAACAAGCAAGACCAGAGACUGCAAUCAAAUGUAACGACAUCUUCAAACCCUUAACUGGACAAGACAAACUUAUCAGAACUGUGCUGACAAAGGGAGUCGCUGGCAUUGGAAAAACAGUCUCUGUGCAGAAGUUCAUUCUGGACUGGGCUGAAGGAAAAGCAAAUCAGGAUGUCCAAUUUGUAUUUUCAUUCCCUUUUCGGGCGCUGAAUUUGAUGAAAGAGGAAAAACACACUUUGAUUGAACUUCUCAAUCACUUCUCAAUGGAAACCAAAGAAUCAAGAAUCUCCAACUACAACAAGUACAAAGUCCUGUUCAUCUUUGAUGGUCUGGAUGAGUGCCGACUGCCCCUAGACUUCAAAAAGAACAAGAUCUGUUGUGAUGUCACAAAGUCAACCUCAGUGGAUGUUCUGCUGACAAAUCUCAUCAAGGGAAAUCUGCUUCCCUCUGCUCUCCUCUGGAUAACUACCCGACCUGCAGCAGCCAAUAAGAUCCCUUCAGGGUGUGUUGACCAGGUGACAGAGGUACGAGGGUUCAAUGACCCACAGAAGGAAGAAUACUUCAGAAAGAGAUUCAGUGAUGAUGAGGACCUGGCCAGCAGAAUCAUCUCACACAUAAAGACAUCAAGGAGCCUCCACAUCAUGUGCCACAUUCCAGUCUUCUGUUGGAUUUCUGCAACAGUCCUUGAACAGAUGCUGAAACAUAAGAGAGAAGAGAUGCCCAAGACUCUGACUGAGAUGUACACACACCUUCUGGAGUUCCAUACCAAACAGAAGAAUGAAAAGUAUCUUGGGAAAGAAGAGACAGGUCCACACUGUAAUAAAGAGAGCAUUCUGUCACUGGGAAAACUAGCUUUUCAACAGCUUGUCAAGGGCAAUCUGAUUUUCUAUCAAGAAGACCUGAAAAGGGCUGGCAUUGAGGCCAAUGAAGCCUCAGUGUACUCAGGAUUGUGCACACAGCUCUUUAAAGAGGAAUGGGCUGUACCAGGACAAGGUGUACUGCUUCGUGCAUCUGAGCAUUCAGGAGUUUCUGGCUGCUGUAUAUGUGUUCCUCUCAUUCAUUAACAACAAUGAAAAUCUAAUGGUCAAACCGCAAUCAACAUCCAGGUACUUUUCUGCUCUGUUCGGAGACAAGCUUGAAGUUACUUCCUACAAGAGUGCUGUGGAUAAAGCCUUACAAAGUGAGACGGGAAACCUGGACCUUUUCCUCCGCUUCCUUCUGGGCCUCUCAAUGGAGUCUAAUCAGAAGCACUUACGAGGUCUACUGACAACGACAAGAAGCAGCUCACAGGGCCAUGAAAAAAACAGUCAAGUACAUCAAGGAGAAGAUCAGGGAGAAUCCCUCUCCAGAGAGGUGCAUCAAUCUGUUCCACUGUCUGAAUGAACUGAAUGACCAUUCUCUAGUGGAGGAGAUCCAAAGCUACCUGAGAUCAGGAAGUGUCUCCAGUAAUGAACUCUCACCUGCACAGUGGUCAGCGCUGGUCUUUGUGAUGCUGACUUCAGAAAAAGAGCUGGAUGUGUUUGACCUGAAGAAAUACUCCAGAUCAGAGGAAGGUCUGCUGAGGCUGCUGCCAGUGAUCAAAGCCUCCAGAGUUGCUCUGCUGUCAGGCUGUGGAGUCAAAGAGAAAGGCUGUGCUUCUCUGGUAUCAGCUCUUAUGUCAAACCCCUCACACCUGGAUCUGAGUAACAAUGACCUGAAGGAUUCAGGAGUGAAGCUGCUCUCUGCUGGACUGGGGAAUCCCCACUGUAAACUGGAGACUCUGAGGCUGUCAGGCUGUGGAGUCACAGAGGAAGGCUGUGCUUCUCUGGUCUCAGCUCUGAGGUCAAACCCCUCACACCUGAGAGAGCUGGAUCUGAGUAACAAUGACCUGAAGGAUUCAGGAGUGAAGCUCCUCUCUGCUGGACUGGGGAAUCCCCACUGUAAACUGGAGACCCUGAGGUUGUCAGGCUGUCAAGUCACAGAGGAAGGCUGUGCUUCUCUGGUCUCAGCUCUGACGUCAAACCCCUCACACCUGAGAGAGCUGGACCUGAGCUACAAUCACCCAGGAGACUCAGGAGUCAGACUGCUCUCUGCUAGACUGGAGGAUCCACAUUGCAGACUGGAGAAACUCAAUGUGAAACAUGGUGGAGAGUACACAAUGAAACCUGGGCUAAGAAAAUAUGCCUGUGAUCUCACACUGGACCCAAACACAGUAAACAGACACCUCUCUCUGUCUGAGGAGAACAGAAAGGUGACAUGGAGGAGAGAGGAGCAGCCGUAUCCUGAUCACACAGAGAGAUUUGACUGGAAACAGGUGCUGUGUAGAGAGGGUCUGACUGGGCGCUGUUACUGGGAGGCAGAGUGGAAUGGGAGAGGGGCUUACAUAGGAGUGACUUAUAAAGGAAUCAGCAGAAAAGGAAGUGGUAAUGACAGUGGGAUUGGAUGGAAUGACAAGUCCUGGAGUCUGUUUUACUCUGUCAACAGUUUUGUUGCCUGGCACAAUGAUAAUCCAACUACCAUAGACGUCCCCUCCUCCAGCUCCCACAGAGUAGGAGUGUAUCUGGACUGGCCAGCCGGCACUCUGUCCUUCUACAGAGUCUCCUCUGACUCACUGACCCACCUGUACACAUUCCACACCACAUUCACUGAGCCCCUCUAUCCAGGGUUUCAUGUUUGGUUUGAUGCCGCCUCAGUGUCCCUGUGUCAGGUGGUCCCUGUGUCAAACACAACAUGAUGUUUCACUCUAAUCCUGGUCCUGUUCAGUCAGACACACUGGAGCAACAAUGUAGAAUAUCUCUCUCGUGUGUAAACAUAUGAUUGUAAAUAUUCAUGAAUAAACACCAUUGAAGUCAUUCAUUAAUAUAAUGAAUCACCACACUGUGUUGUAAAAACUUUUCAUUUAGAAAUCACUGAUCUUGUUAUUGGGCUUCUUGGUGUUUGUAAAUGUUGUUGUCGGUAGGAUGUUUUUCUAAUUCUUUACACAACAAUCUUGCUUCUGCAUAAACUCAAUUCCACUGAAUGAAAUGUACAUGUGAAAGAUUUGACGAAUUAAGGUUAGCAGAUGAAAGAACAGCAGUUCUAAAUGUUUUGUGUUUAAUAAGACAAUAUGACAUUUAAAUAAGUAACACACUCACACACCAGUUUGAGACGUUUUUUUCCUGUAAUAAACACAAUUUUUUUACAUGUUUAGUGUUGGAGUGAUCGUUUACAUUGGACCACAUGACAACAAUAAUGUCACCUGUAGUUGUUUUAAGACGUGUAUAUAUAGACACUGAACAUUUAAAUUAUAUUAUUUAAAAUGGUCAAUACCUUUUAUGAAGGUAUGAAAAUACAUAUCAUAUGUCUUGUAAA